GCAACGCGAAGAACCUUACCUACCCUUGACAUGUCAGAAAGAUCGCAGAGAUGUGAUUGUGCCCGAAAGGGAAUCUGAACACAGGUGCUGCAUGGCUGUCGUCAGCUCGUGUCGUGAGAUGUUGGGUUAAGUCCCGCAACGAGCGCAACCCUUGUCAUUAAUUGCCAUCAUUUAGUUGGGCACUUUAAUGAGACUGCCGGUGAUAAACCGGAGGAAGGUGGGGAUGACGUCAAGUCCUCAUGGCCCUUAUGGGUAGGGCUUCACACGUAAUACAAUGGUCGGUACAGAGGGUUGCCAACCCGCGAGGGGGAGCUAAUCUCAGAAAGCCGAUCGUAGUCCGGAUUGGAGUCUGCAACUCGACUCC
rnacentral:rRNA from 1 species